AAAUGGAAUGUGCCAUUUGUUUGCUAAAUUAUUUAAUUUUCUUUUCUAGGUCAUUGUUUCCCAAACUAGAUGCUGAAUCCCGGUGAGACUGUGAAGAUAUUGUGAGCGUUCUUGGAGAUCAGAGCAGAAAACAUCCAUCGGAGAAUGGCCCUGUCUGAGAGAUAUGUUACCCUAAACACCAAGACUCAAUAUAUAUGACUUAAGAAAAAAAAGAUCCUUAUGCACUAUCUGAAGGUGAUGCUUCCUGACUUUUGCAACAGAAAGAAUGCUGUC
rnacentral:lncRNA from 1 species